rnacentral:rRNA from 1 species
GGACGGGUGAGUAAUGUCUGGGAAACUGCCUGAUGGAGGGGGAUAACUACUGGAAACGGUAGCUAAUACCGCAUAACGUCGCAAGACCAAAGAGGGGGACCUUCGGGCCUCUUGCCAUCAGAUGUGCCCAGAUGGGAUUAGCUAGUAGGUGGGGUAAUGGCUCACCUAGGCGACGAUCCCUAGCUGGUCUGAGAGGAUGACCAGCCACACUGGAACUGAGACACGGUCCAGACUCCUACGGGAGGCAGCAGUGGGGAAUAUUGCACAAUGGGCGCAAGCCUGAUGCAGCCAUGCCGCGUGUGUGAAGAAGGCCUUCGGGUUGUAAAGCACUUUCAGCGAGGAGGAAGGUGGUGAACUUAAUACGUUCAUCAAUUGACGUUACUCGCAGAAGAAGCACCGGCUAACUCCGUGCCAGCAGCCGCGGUAAUACGGAGGGUGCAAGCGUUAAUCGGAAUUACUGGGCGUAAAGCGCACGCAGGCGGUUUGUUAAGUCAGAUGUGAAAUCCCCGGGCUCAACCUGGGAACUGCA